AGCGGAGGAAAAGAAACCAACAGGGAUUGCCUCAGUAACGGCGAGUGAAGCGGCAACAGCUCAAAUUUGAAAUCUGGCCGCCUGUGCGGUCCGAGUUGUAAUUUGAAGAGGAUGCUUUUGGCAAGGUGCCUUCCGAGUGCCCUGGAAUGGGACGCCAUAGAGGGUGAGAGCCCCGUAUGGUCGGUCGCCGAGCCUCUGUAAAGCUCCUUCGACGAGUCGAGUAGUUUGGGAAUGCUGCUCAAAAUGGGAGGUAAACCCCUUCUAAAGCUAAAUAUUGGCCAGAGACCGAUAGCGCACAAGUAGAGUGAUCGAAAGAUGAAAAGCACUUUGAAAAGAGAGUUAAACAGCACGUGAAAUUGUUGAAAGGGAAGCGCUUGCGACCAGACUUGUGCUCGUCGAAUCAGCCGUCGCUCGUCGGCGGCGCAUUUCGGCGGGCUCAGGCCAGCAUCAGUUCGCUGUAGGGGGAGAAAGGCGGUAGGAAUGUGGCUCUUCGGAGUGUUAUAGCCUGCCGUGUAAUACCCCUCGGCGGACUGAGGACCGCGCAUCUGCAAGGAUGCUGGCGUAAUGGUUGUCAGCGACCCGUCUUGA
rnacentral:rRNA from 1 species